rnacentral:misc_RNA from 1 species
GAGAGCGCAGGAGAGCACGAGCGCGACGGAGGCCAGGAAAAAGGCCAAGACGACGCGAUCGAACGACGGCCCCGACGGCGCCGGCGGCCACCAGUUCCGGUGCACGGCUCCAGGAGUCGAGACACGCGGGCUCCCGACUCCACCCCUCGACGUGAGCCGCGCGGAUGUGCUCCGGCUAAAGCUUCCGCUCACCAUCUCCCCUCCGCCGCCACUGCCGCCGCUGGAUCUCCCAUUCGAGAGCUUCCCUGUUGCCAAAUCGGCUCCUAACCAAUUCACGGCGAAACUGUGUCCCAACAAAAUCUCAUCGAAUCUCG